rnacentral:lncRNA from 1 species
UCCACUUUGGUGUGUAAGGACCUGUAUUUUGUUUUGUGUAGAUCUAAUUCUAACCCAGCAGCCUGGGAUCAGCUUCAGAGCAUUUCUUCAACUGGCAGUUGCUUUCGGGAUUUGCAUCUCAAUCCUCCCAAAUGUUGGAGACCGCUUGGACAAACCUUCAAGUCAAUCAAAAGGAUUAGCAGGAUAUUGAAUCCAAGAUUCAAAUCCCCAGCUAUUUCCAGAAGAUGUGGAUGGCAUAAAAGCAAUAGGACACCAAGAAGAGCCUGCCAUUGUAACUCUUCAUGAAAUCCCAACCUCUGCCUUCCAGACUAGGUGUGCAUUUAUUUGAAUUUUUCCCUUUUCCUCUCUUGUUUGGCCCGUUUGCUCUGCA